UACGUAGGACCCAAGCGUUAUCCGGAAUUACUGGGCGUAAAGAGUUGCGUAGGUGGCAGAGUAAGCAAGGUGUGAAAGCGUGUGGCUCAACCAUACAUGGCAUACUUUGAACUGCUCAGCUAGAGAGCGAGAGAGGUCACUGGAAUUCCUAGUGUAGGAGUGAAAUCCGUAGAUAUUAGGAGGAACACCGAUGGCGUAGGCAGGUGACUGGCUCGUUUCUGACACUGAGGCACGAAAGCGUGGGGAGCGAACGGG
rnacentral:rRNA from 1 species